rnacentral:miRNA from 1 species
GCUAGGUGAGUGCUCUACUGCUGAACCCCAGCCCCAGCCCUUAUAUUUACUUUUUUAAAAUUAUUAUUAUUAUUUUAUAUUUACUUUUAUAUGCAUGAAAACUCUGGAAAAAUCAACAAGAAAUGAACAAUAGUGGGGUGGGGUUGUGGCUCAGUGGUAGAGUGCUCGCUUAGC